rnacentral:rRNA from 1 species
AGUGAACGCUGGCGGUAGGCCUAACACAUGCAAGUCGAACGGCAGCACAGUAAGAGCUUGCUCUUACGGGUGGCGAGUGGCGGACGGGUGAGGAAUACAUCGGAAUCUACUUUUUCGUGGGGGAUAACGUAGGGAAACUUACGCUAAUACCGCAUACGACCUACGGGUGAAAGCAGGGGAUCUUCGGACCUUGCGCGAUUGAAUGGGCCGAUGUCGGAUUAGCUAGUUGGCGGGGUAAAGGCCCACCAAGGCGACGAUCCGUAGCUGGUCUGAGAGGAUGAUCAGCCACACUGGAACUGAGACACGGUCCAGACUCCUACGGGAGGCAGCAGUGGGGAAUAUUGGACAAUGGGCGCAAGCCUGAUCCAGCCAUACCGCGUGGGUGAAGAAGGCCUUCGGGUUGUAAAGCCCUUUUGUUGGGAAAGAAAAGCAGCAGGUUAAUACCCCGCUGUUCUGACGGUACCCAAAGAAUAAGCACCGGCUAACUUUGUG